CCUGGUGCGAAUGGACUUUGGAAGCGGGGCCAUCGCACAACCUGCAUCUUUAGUGCUUUCUCGUCAGCGAUGUUGGGAGAAAAGCAGAAAAAAGAAGAGAAGAAGAAAGCAAACAAAUUCCAGGCAACCAACCUCUAUGCCAACUAAGCGUCACAUGCGAAGCAAGGCUCUGGCAAAACAAGGAUGCGCUCAGAACAGUAUCUCUGCACUUCAACCAUUCACGGAGACAGAAAGAGUGACUAGGGCCUGAGUCAAUGCACAAAACGCCACUUGUGUGCAAAACUAGUGGGCUCCUGGCAGAAAGGAGCAGCACACGCCCUCUAGGAACUCCCACCCACCACUAACAGGCAGAGCUGACCUUCCUGCCCUCCCUGAAAGCGCAGUUCAUAGCCCUCUAGAAAUGGGUUGGUGUCUUUCGUCUCUGUUUGCCCCCACCCUGAUAAGCUUUGGACACUUUUCUUCAGUGAAAUUGUGCUAUACUCAGUCCUUUAAAGCCCCAAUUGGUGGGGGGGGGUCCCCAAGCUCCACUCCCUCACACCACCUUUUCUACCAUUUUCAUCAUAGAAUGCUUCCAAUCUUUUGUGAAUUUUUUUUAUUAUAAGAAGAAUCUAUUUGUAUCUAUCCUAACCAGUUUGGGGAUAUAUUAAGAUAUUUUUGUACAUAAGAGAGAGAGAAAAAUUUAUAGAGUUUUGUACAAAUGGUUUAAAAUGUGUAUAUCUUGAUACUUUAACAUGUAAUGCUAUUACCUCUGCAUAUUUUAGAUGUGUAGUUCACCUGACAACUGCCAUGUUCCCUAUGUGGUUUUGUAAAGACCUGUCCUCAUAGGUGAGAUCAAAAGGCCACCAGAUGUACUUCAGCACCAAUGUGUCUUACUUUAUAGAAACUUUGUUAAUGUAUUAAUGACAUUAUUAAAUACUGUUCAAGAAGAACAAAGUUUAUGCAGCUACUGUCCAAACGCAAAGUGGCAGCCAGUUGGUUUUGAUGGGUUGCCUUUUGGGAAAUUUCUAUCACUGCCCCCCCUUUUUUUCUUACUGUUUUAUUACAAACUUACAAAAAAAAAAACCCAUGUAUAACCCUGUUUUAUACAAACUAGUUUCGUAAUAAAACUUUUUUCUUUUUUUACAAAUGAAAAUAAUCAGCGGUCUCCAAGUUUUCUUUGACGCCACUGCCUUUGUCCAAGUUUUAUCAAAAUGCCAAAAGAAAGGGAAGGGGGAGGAAAGGGUGGUGUGAAACACGCUAAGUGGCAGAAAUGACAAAGAUAAGUGCUAUGACCAGUCCUACUUGAGGUGACUUUAUGAUGAAUGUACAGGGAAAAGAUAUAUAUAUAUAUAUAUAUAUAUAUAUAGAGAGAGAGAGAGAGAGAGAGAGAGAGAGAGAGAGAGAUUCCCUCACCUUUAUGCCACAAAUGUACACAUAUACCUAAAGAAUAGGCAGUGAUUAGUGGCUGCAUCAUCUUUUGAUAAAAUGACUGUACAUUGAAAAAAAAUCCCCCCAAAGUAAGCUGGAAAGAGGGGGUCCUCCCCCUACUUUCUAACCCUUACCCCCUUUCUGAGUUCCUCACCGUGACACCGUGC
rnacentral:lncRNA from 1 species